rnacentral:tRNA from 1 species
GGAGGUGGAUAGGUUCUGGUGUGCCUCCUGGACUUCAAAUCCAGUGGGGGGCGUGAAGAGCGUCCCUGGUGGGUUCGAUUCCCAUGCACCUCCGCCA